rnacentral:lncRNA from 1 species
UUUUUUUUUUUUUUUUUGGAGACGGAGUCUCGCUCUGUCGCCCAGGCUGGAGUGCUAUGGCCGGAUCUCAGCUCACUGCAAGCUCCGCCUCCCGGGUUUACGCCAUUCUCCUGCCUCAGCCCCCCGAGUAGCUGGGACUACAGGCGCCCGCCACCUCGCCCGGCUAGUUUUUUUGUAUUUUUUAGUAGAGAUGGGGUUUCACUGUGUUAGCCAGGAUGGUCUCGAUCUCCUGACCUCGUGAUCCGCCCGUCUCGGCCUCCCAAAGUGCUGGGAUUACAGGCUUGAGCCACCGCGCCCGGCCCUCCUUCCUUUUUUUAUAAACAAUUGUAGUAUAUUCUUUUAAAUUGAUAUAUACUCUUACAGUUGAGCAGAUGUUCCAUAAUUUACCAAAGUAUUCAUCUCUCAUUGUAAUUCCCUUUUUUUUGUAAAUUACAAAGUUGUGGUUAAUAUUAAGAUAGCUUUUCACCAAAUAACUUUUAGAAUUGCUGUCAAAGAAAACGAAAAAAUUAAAUUGGCUCUAGGUUGCCUUCCAACAAGGCAAUAUUUACUUAAAUCUUCUACAGUUACAACGCCAACAUCUGCAAAAAUAGAACUAACAUUUCUUAAGUGUUACUUUUAAAACAAUCUGGAAACAUGGCAAAGUAGGAUGAUCGCAUUCUAAUAAUUUCAUAUUCUGAAGUGCCCCACUGUCAUCUUCCUUUACUUCUGGAAGGAAACAUGUAGAUACUAACACAGUUGCACCUUCACCUCUUCUUCCCCUUCCCCACUGUUUUAUAGCAAGCCCCAUGUGGGUAUUAGCACUUAAUGGAGCAUCACUCCUAUUCUCGGCUUCGUCCAUCUAGUCAGCGUCUAAUCUAACCUACAAAAGCUUUACCCAGUCCACAAUCCCCGUCCUAUCCCCAAAUCUAACACUUUCAGUGACCACUGGUUUUGGCAAUUCUGUGACCGCUUCCUGGCCAGCACCGUGGUUUCUUCAAACCUUGUUUAUUUUUCCAAUUGUCCUGGAUCUAAGCAUUUUCUCUGCCGUAUGGCUGCUGCCUUCCUCUAAGAUGGCCGUGCCCAUGGUGCUCCAGCUAAGGCUCCACUCUCAGCUAUAACGGGCACAGAGGGUGCCGCCAUCUUUUUCUCCCCAGCCGGCUGAAUAGAAUGCCACUGCGCCGUGCUGGCCUUGGCUGGGCACCCGACUCUUGAGUGUCCCUCGCAACGAAUUGAGAAAGGCACUGGGGUGGCCAAGAGUGAUUUCCACAGCCAUUAUGGCCGCUUCU